AUAUUAAUAAUUUGUCCUCGGGCCGGAGACGGUAUGAAUAAGCACCCGUUCCUUGCAAAGUUACAAAAGUAAUAAUUCUAAAUCAGACUCGAGUUUCAAUGGACCCAUUAUGAUGUUAGAUGAUAGCUAUGAAAAAAAAGAAAAGUUUCAGAAGCUUUACCGCAACUAAAGCUUCCUAAGUCCUAAGCUGCUCUAAUUGGCGUGUUUCAAGUGAUCAUAAUAGAACAGGAAAACGCUUCUUCAAACGAAGAGCACUCGUUACCUGAAAUAAUUCAUAAUGUUUAAAUUUAAAUCCUACUUAAAAGAUAGAAUGAGGAUUAAAUAAAAGUCUGUAAUAAAAUAAA